ACUUCAUCAAACAGAAAAGGUUUUACUUAACGUAAAUUAAUAGGGAAUCGUGUGCAAAUCACGAGCUGUCGCGCAACUGUAAGUAACACACCAAAGGUUUCUGUCCUUGCAUAUCCACUGCCAAAAGCGGGAAGGAUGACAGAAACUGUUACAAGUCAGGAGACCUGCCUUUACUGAAUUGACAUUG
rnacentral:ncRNA from 24 species